rnacentral:rRNA from 1 species
UACCAGCACCCCGAGUGGUCGGGACGUUUAUUGGGCCUAAGCAUCCGUAGCCGGUUCUACAAGUCUUCCGUUAAAUCCAGCUGCUUAACAGAUGGGCUGCGGAAGAUACUAUGGAGCUAGGAGGCGGGAGAGGCAAGCGGUACUCGGAUGGGUAGGGGUAAAAUCCGUUGAUCCAUUGAAGACCACCAGUGGCGAAGGCGGCUCUUUGGUCUGUAACUGACGCUGGAGGCGCGAAAGCGUGGGGAGCGAACAGG